UUUGAACCCAGGACUUCCCAACUCCAGGCCUGAUGCUCCAACCACUUUGCCCCUAGCUGCUGCCCCUGUGAAGUCCUUCCGAAGCUAAACAGAGGAGUGAACAUUUUAUCCUGAAGGCAUCAGGAAGCCACUAAAGUUACUAAAGGAUACCUUUAGGAAGAUAGGAAGUGAUGCCUAUAGAUACCAGAAGACUUAUAAGAGCACUGUUUAUAGUGGCUCAGAACUGGAAACAAAGCAGAGCCCAUCAAUUGCGGAAUGACUAACCAAGCUGCGAAUGAAUGUCAUGGAAUAUCAUUGUGUGGCAAGAAAUGAUGAAUAUGAUCAAUACAGAGAAGUAGGAGCCUCCUGAAUAGAGAGGGAAGAAAGAAGCACCGGGGAAACAACGCACACAUUACUGCCACAUGCAAAGGAAAAGAGCAACAAAAAGCUGAAACUGAAUGCCAAGAAAUCUUAAAGUGCUGCACAGACUUAUGCCUUUCAAUAAUACUGGGGAAAGAAGACCCAAGAUUUGUGUAUGUGUGUGUGUGACUGAGUGUAUGUUUGUGACUCUGUGUGUGUGUGUGUGUGUGUGUGUGUGUGUGUGUGUUUGCCAUCAAAGCCCUGCCUGAGAUACUGGGUAUAAACCCGGAGACACAGACCCAGAGACAGCAGCCAUGGAAGAAUGCGCCAUCUGCUCCUAAAGGUGACCUAGAACAGAAACUAGUCCUCACUCCUCCAGGGAGAGCUACCCAGAAGUCCAUGCAGCGAUGGGAUGAUCUUGGCUUAACUCUUCCAGAAGCCCAAAUUUUAGAGAUGGCAGGAAUCUCAGGGACCAACCCAUAUCUGCUGAAGUAAGCCAAGCCUGACCCUGGCUGAUUGUAUAGUUCUGGGACAAGAUUAAAACAAAAUGAGAUGCUGCC